rnacentral:lncRNA from 1 species
UAAAUUUGGAACUCGUAUUCAUUACAUAAGUACUACAUUAUACAAAUAACAAAAUGAAUUCAAAAAACCGAUACAUACAUUCCACCAUUACAAUUCAUUCUCCAUGAUUUUGUGCAUUAACCGCAAGUUCCUAACACUCAUGUAAAUGUAUACAUAAUAACAGAACAUAGUACAUAAACACAUAUACAACUAACCAAAUCUCAAGAAAAUUAACGUAUCCCUUGAACAAUGUCGGUCGGGUACCAUAAAAUUGGUGAAUUAUCAAGCUGUCCAUAGUUUUUUCCACCAAGCAUUGUUCCAAUAACCUGUAGCUGGGGACAAUAGCUAGGUAUUCCCAAGUUCUGGUAUUCAGAUUAUUUUGAGCUGAAUUCAAUAGUUAUCAGAAAGUUAAGGAAAUCAAAAGAUAAAAAACUCCUCUCUCUAUGGUCAACUCAUGAUAAUACUUUGUCAAAAAAAUAGUUUAUACCAUUUUGUUCAACAUUUUUCAGCUCCUUAAGCUCACGUCUGGCUGCAGGUAUGGUUGCGGUUCAUUCAUCAGGUUCUGCAAAUCUGCUCUGGUGAAACCUGGUGUUCAAUAUGAAACCUUAUCAAAUUCAACAUCCUUCAAAACAACAAUAAUUCGUUACAAAUUUACUACCAAUAUCGCAAAGACCAUCUCUACCUUAAUAUGGCCAACCAAACCCUCUGAAAAUAGAACAACUUUGAAGCAACAUUUGAAAUAUAGAUGAAGACACCAAAAUACAAUAGAAAUUAACUCGAAGUUGGACAAAAUAUGCACAACAGUAUAUUUCCCUAGAUUUUCAAACUAAUGCAUAUACAUUUAUAGCAUAUUAAGCCGAAGUAUAUAACAGUUUCCAUAAGAGAUAACUAACCCGAAGAUUGAAGAAUCUUUUCUCUACCAGCAACAUCAAGCUAUCGACGGUGACAUGUCUGCCAAAAUCUCCAGGCCUUAAACUUCUAACUAGAUUAUUAUUGUAUAAAAUGUAAAUCGGUCAAAUCAAAAUCUAAACGGUUAUUCAAAGAACAAAUAAUUGACAGAAUAUUGAAAGAGAAAUAACCUUGUAUACUUAGUUAAUUCAAAAUGAGGAGCAGUAAAUCUCAAUUCAUGUCCAAUAACCUUGUAUACCUAGUUAAGGUAGCAACUUCAACGUAAUGUGAAUCUUUCCACACAUGAGAAUGUGUUCUGAGGAUAACUCGAACUUCUCCUUGAGAUAAGACCCGCAAUUUUCCUGCAUAAUCGAUGGAGAAAAAAACUCUCCUAAAUCUAAUACAAAUAAGUGAAUAUAUUUAUUUAACCACAUAACCAUAUAUAUUAGAGAUCUUACACAUGAAAGCAAAUCCAUACAAUCUCUACCAACCAGCCUUGUAUCUCCACUCCUAUGGCAGAUUUAAGAAAAAACACAAAACAUGAUUGUUGUCUCUCUCUUCAGGCAAAUAUUAUAUAUUUUUAUGAAGUAAUAAAUCUAGUUCCAUAAAACACAAAACACACCAAAAAAUCAUUUUAAUUUUUUUAAUCGAUAAAAUAAACCGGCACCCAUGACAAAAAAUCAAAACUGAAAAAUGGGUAUCAGUACUCAAUGCGCAUUCAUUAGAUUGGUGAAAUAACCGUAGGAUAUAGAUCAAUGGUGAAGGAAAUCGAAAAUGAAUAUGACAAUAAUCAUUACAUAUGAUUAAGAACCCUAAAUUAAUUCAAACUUCACUUAAUUUUAAAAACAAAAUCAAAUUUAGGGUGUGUUCUGCAAAAACCAUAAAACACGAAUAACAUUGGAAGAGAGAGAGAGAAUACCUGAAAUUUUCGAGGGCUUUGCGGCGGCGGCGGCAGUAGCGGCAGCAGCGGAGGUGGCGGC